rnacentral:rRNA from 1 species
GACGAACGCUGGCGGCGUGCUUAACACAUGCAAGUCGAACGGAAGGCCCUGCCUUUUUGGGGUGCUCGAGUGGCGAACGGGUGAGUAACACGUGAGUAACCUGCCCUUGACUUUGGGAUAACUUCAGGAAACUGGGGCUAAUACCGGAUAGGAGCUCCUGCUGCCUGGUGGGGGUUGGAAAGGUUCGGCGGUUGGGGAUGGACUCGCGGCUUAUCAGCUUGUUGGUGGGGUAGUGGCUUACCAAGGCUUUGACGGGUAGCCGGCCUGAGAGGGUGACCGGCCACAUUGGGACUGAGAUACGGCCCAGACUCCUACGGGAGGCAGCAGUGGGGAAUAUUGCACAAUGGGCGGAAGCCUGAUGCAGCAACGCCGCGUGCGGGAUGACGGCCUUCGGGUUGUAAACCGCUUUCGCCUGUGACGAAGCGUGAGUGACGGUAAUGGGUAAAGAAGCACCGGCUAACUACGUG